rnacentral:piRNA from 1 species
UAGACUACGAAUUCCAAAAAA